CCCACUAAUGAUGACAUCACUUCCUGCUUUAUGGUGGUCAGCGUGUCGCGGAUCAGUUUGCAGAUCAGGCAGUUGCGGGUCAGAAAACACCACGAGGAAAAAACGCCAACAACUGGAAGUACCGAGAGGCUCCGGUGAAGGAUCCAAAGAAAACCCGACAUCUAUCAGCGCAACUCCCGUGUGCUAAAAAUAAAAGAUUGUCUCCCACAAACCGGCAUUACAGCAAUGGAUUCCCCUUGGCAACAGGCAGCGACAUGUACAACCGGCAACAAGAGACGAUCACUACUACCAAUCAGGACUGCGCGUAUAAUUCAUUAAGGGCCGACUGCAUGUGAGAGUCGCUAAGUGCAAUUACCCGCAGACGAUUCUUCAAUUCCUGACGGUACUUCACUCUCCUCAGUUUAAAGCAACAGGUACAGUGAGCGCUGGGGACAGACGGAAGACGAGCCCUGCUCCCAUAUAAAAGGCAAACACAUGGGCAUCUAAGUCCCACUUCUGAUGACGUCACUUCCUGUUUCCAGCAACGGCACUUCCUGCUUUAUGGUGGUCAGCUUGUCGCGGAUCAGUUUGCAGAUCAGGCAGUUGCGGG